rnacentral:misc_RNA from 1 species
AUAAAGAUAAUUUUUUACCAAUUCUAACUCUAAUAUUCAAACAAAUAUAAUUUAUCAUCUUUUCAAGACUUCAAAAAAUGGUAUUACUUAAGGAUUGAAUGUCGUAGUACAUAAGGUUAGUGAUUCAAAGUUUCAAACUCCAACAACCUCUUGCCCUUAAAAAAUUUGUAGUCUACCAAUAAAAAGUUCAUCCUACAACUAGCAUACAACGGCCAGAAACACUCUCCAGUCGGGAAUCAAACCUACAAGAUCAUUCAUUUAGAUGUCUUACCCAUGGUUGUGCA